AUACGGAAGGUCCGGGCGUUAUCCAGAUUUAUUGGGUUUAAAGGGAGCGCAGGCGGAGAUGCAAGCGUGACGUCAAAUUUCGGGGCUCAACCCCGUCUCGCGUCGCGAACUGCGUCCCUUGGUUGCGGGAAGGGGAGGCGGAACACGUGGGGGAGCGGGGAAAUGCAUAGAUAUCACGAAGAACUCCGAUCGCGAAGGCAGCCUUCCGGCCCGUCAACGACGCUCAUGCUCGAAGGUGCGGGUAUCAAACAGGAUUAGAUACCCUGGUAGUCCGCACAGUAAACGAUGGACACCCGCGGUUUGGCCUGUAUGGCUGAGCCGCCAAGCGAAAGCGUUAAGUGUCCCACCUGGGGAGUACGCCGGCAACGGUGAAACUCAAAUGAAUUGACGGGG
rnacentral:rRNA from 1 species